rnacentral:rRNA from 1 species
GACGAACGCUGGCGGCGUGCUUAACACAUGCAAGUCGAACGGAAAGGCCCUGCUUUUGUGGGGUGCUCGAGUGGCGAACGGGUGAGUAACACGUGAGUAACCUGCCCUUGACUUUGGGAUAACUUCAGGAAACUGGGGCUAAUACCGGAUAGGAGCUCCUGCUGCAUGGUGGGGGUUGGAAAGUUUCGGCGGUUGGGGGUGGACUCGCGGCUUAUCAGCUUGUUGGUGGGGUAGUGGCUUACCAAGGCUUUGACGGGUAGCCGGCCUGAGAGGGUGACCGGCCACAUUGGGACUGAGAUACGGCCCAGACUCCUACGGGAGGCAGCAGUGGGGAAUAUUGCACAAUGGGCGGAAGCCUGAUGCAGCAACGCCGCGUGCGGGAUGACGGCCUUCGGGUUGUAAACCGCUUUCGCUUGUGACGAAGCGUGAGUGACGGUAAUGGGUAAAGAAGCACCGGCUAACUACGUG